rnacentral:rRNA from 1 species
CCCGCUGAACUUAAGCAUAUCAGUAAGCGGAGGAAAAGAAACUAACAAGGAUUCCCCUAGUAACGGCGAGUGAAGCGGGAAGAGCUCAACUUUAGAAUCUGAGAGGAUUUUCCUCUCCGAGUUGUAGUCUAAAGAAGCAAUACCUUUGACAGCAGUAGCAUAAAUCUCUUGGAACAGAGUAUCAUGGAGGGUGAGAAUCCCGUCUUUGGCUGCUUGUUUCUGUCAUUUAAUGGUAUGCUUUCUGAGAGUCGGGUUGUUUGGGAAUGCAGCCCAAAUUGGGUGGUAAGUUUCAUCUAAGGCUAAAUAUUGGCGAGAGACCGAUAGCGAACAAGUACCGUGAGGGAAAGAUGAAAAGAACUUUGAAAAGAGAGUUAAACAGUACGUGAAAUUGUUAAAAGGGAAGCGAUUGAGACCAGUAUUGACUGAUGGGAAAUCAGUUGGAACUUGUUUGAACUGAGCAAUUGGAGGAGUUUGCAAAAUAGCCCACGGUUGUUUAGCUUUUUUGAACAGGGACCAAUGCACUUUCUCGUUGGCAAGUCAGCAUCGGUUUCUUUUGCUGUAUAAAAGUUUGAGGAAGGUAGCCUUCUCUGUAAAAGGAGUUGGUGUUAUAGCCUCUUGCUCAUGCAGUGAAUGAGACCGAGGAAAAAUACAAAUUUGCGGCAUGUUCUUGGUAAGCUAGUUACUGUUGUGGCCUUUUGAUAAGGACAGCUUUUGUUGGCCUUGUCGAAAGAGUCAUGACACUUGGCUGGUGGAUUCACAACCAUGCUUCGGAUGCUGACGAAAUGGUCUUAAACGACCCGUCUUGAAACACGG